rnacentral:ribozyme from 1 species
CAUAAAGGUAUGAAAGUUUUUUUUUUUUUUUUUUUUUUUUUUUUUUGC